rnacentral:rRNA from 1 species
CCUACGGGAGGCAGCAGUGGGGAAUUUUGGACAAUGGGCGAAAGCCUGAUCCAGCAAUGCCGCGUGAGUGAAGAAGGCCUUCGGGUUGUAAAGCUCUUUUGUCAGGGAAGAAACGGUGCGGGCUAAUAUCCUGCACUAAUGACGGUACCUGAAGAAUAAGCACCGGCUAACUACGUGCCAGCAGCCGCGGUAAUACGUAGGGUGCAAGCGUUAAUCGGAAUUACUGGGCGUAAAGCGUGCGCAGGCGGUUUUGUAAGUCUGUCGUGAAAUCCCCGGGCUCAACCUGGGAAUUGCGAUGGAGACUGCAAGGCUAGAAUCUGGCAGAGGGGGGUAGAAUUCCACGUGUAGCAGUGAAAUGCGUAGAGAUGUGGAGGAACACCGAUGGCGAAGGCAGCCCCCUGGGUCAAGAUUGACGCUCAUGCACGAAAGCGUGGGGAGCAAACAGGAUUAGAUACCCUGGUAGUCCACGCCCUAAACGAUGUCUACUAGUUGUCGGGUUUUAAUUAACUUGGUAACGCAGCUAACGCGUGAAGUAGACCGCCUGGGGAUACGGUCGCAAGNUUAAAACUUAAAUGAAAUUGACGG